AACGAACGCUGGCGGCAGGCCUAACACAUGCAAGUCGAACGGAUGUAGCAAUACAUUAGUGGCGCACGGGAGAGUAACACGUGGGAAUCUACCUUUUGGUUCGGAAUAACGUCGGGAAACUGACGCUAAUACCGGAUAAGCCCUACGGGGGAAAGUUCUUCGCCAAAAGAUGAGCCCGCGCUAGAUUAGCUUGUUGGUGAGGUAAUGGCUCACCAAGGCUACGAUCUAUAGCUGGUCUGAGAGGAUGACCAGCCUCACUGGGACUGAGACACGGCCCAGACUCCUACGGGAGGCAGCAGUGGGGAAUAUUGGACAAUGGGGGAAACCCUGAUCCAGCCAUGCCGCGUGAAUGAUGAAGGCCUUCGGGUUGUAAAGUUCUUUUGGUAGGGACGAUGAUGACGGUACCUACAGAAUAAGCUCCGGCUAACUUCGUGCCAGCAGCCGCCGCAG
rnacentral:rRNA from 1 species